ACUCACGUCCGGCGGAAAUAGCCUAACCGCGAUAUCAUCAUAGUUUCGCGCUUCUUCGGCCGCGCAACGAGGAGAUAAUGCGCCGUGUCUUCUGCCAUGGCUGGGCUAUCGGUGGCAGACUGGUCUAUAAAUGAAGUCGAAAUUUGGCUGGAAAGGACAUUCGCAGGCGUUGACGAAACAUUUGACGUUGACGAAACGAAAUGUCGGUUUCGUCAAGAGCGAGUCGAUGGGCAAGCUUUGCUAGGCUUUGACAGUGAGCUACUCAAA
rnacentral:ribozyme from 1 species